CAAGCAGUAAAUCAAUGUCUUUCUUUUACAGCAUUGAUGAGUGAUGAGACACCAGUGUCAUGACUGCUGAGAUUGGUGUUAUUCUCAUGUACUCUAGUUUUUGUGUGUAGUACAUGUACUUAACCUGUACCUCCUCCUCAACACCCACUGCCUCAGUCACCACUUCUCUCUGUUGGGAUGCCUCUGCCACUUCCCCAGCAUCAUCUGCUGCCUGCACACUGCUGGCAUCAUUAGUUCUAACUUCAGAAACUAAGCUGAAAAUGAUUUUGGUUUUAUUGCUAAGGACAAAAGUAACAGAAACCAGUAAAUCUAGCUAAGGGUA